AGAACACCUUUCAGGAUCCACAGCAACGCAGACAACGUAAGUACCAGCCGUUCCCUGAAACCCUUUUGCAGAUUUUUUAAAAACAACCACCUAAAACAUAGAGAGAGAGAGACAAGCCUCUUUCCCCUUCUUCUCCCCUGCGUUAUGCCACCAGUGUUUCCUCAGUAGCCCCUUCCAAAUCGCUCUGCCUUCAAGUUUGUGCAUGUCUGUGUGGCAUCCCUCCUCCUCCUUCACUCCCAUAGUGGAUCUUGUAAAAGGGCUUCAGAUCGGCCCCAUUCAUCUCCCUGGUGAUAGCAGUGAAUGUAGAUAAAUCUCUGGCUGCCUGCUUGCUGCUGGAGUAUGAUUUUUAUUUUGUCUUCUGUGUAUACCUGGGUCAAAAAGUGGGAUGUAUGCAUACACAUACAUGCACAUACACAUAUUUCCUUCUCUCUCCUCUCUCUCCCUCCUUUUUCUCACACAUGCAUACAUCCUACAUAUGUGUGUAUAUGCAUAAACAUAUACACCUAUAUACAUACCCAUACCUGUAGCACAAAAUAUAUACAUAUCUAAACGUUUGUCUGAAAAUAUGCAUAUUUAUAUACACAUACAACCUUACACAUGUGUUUAUACGCAAUCGAUAGGUGCCUAUCUUUUAAUUUAUACCCAUCUAUAUCUCCAUUUAAAUAUUCCCUCUCUUCUCCCAGCAGAGGCUGUGUGCAAUUGCAAUCCAGGAUUAUACAAGCAGUAUUCUUUCCUUAUGAUUUCUAGUUGUAGACCUUUAUCCUCCUUUCUCUGCCUUCUUCGCAGCUGUAGAAUUGGCAUCUUUCCCUGAGGUUUUCCGAGUGGCAAGUGGCACCGGCUGUGGCAUGUAUUCAUGCCGCUUCCUAUGGCAUUUCUCUUCCGAUGUCUGCUUUUUCUUUGUUUGUUGUUGACUAGGCUGAAUGGUGGGGUUUUUUUUAAGUUAAUUAUAAACGAAGUUGAAAUAGCAAACAAGCCAACAGCUUGUCCCCCCCACCAAAAGAAAAAUUAGCCCCACACAAGCGCCUUCUGCUGCAACAGAUGCCCAGAUCACCCCUGGCACGGGCAAACGGGCAAACGAUUUUGGUGGUUUUCAGUUUUUUCUGUUUGUUGCUGUAUUUGUUGUUUGUUUUCCUUGUUUCUUUUUGAUUUUUCGAGGAGUCCAGAAUCCCGGCCUCUGCUUGGAACGGAACAGUGUCAUGGCGGAGACGACGGCCUUUGUCUUGCUGGGUGUGAAAACAUCCGCUGUGCUGGCUCCACUGCGGCAGAAUCAAGUUUAAAGGAAAAAAAGGUACAGACGCCAGCCGCUUGGCACACUCUGCUUUUCGCACUGGUGCAGGGGAACAGGGA
rnacentral:lncRNA from 1 species